GCAAAGCAUGCAUCAGCCACAUCCAUGCUAUCUCCUAAAGCAGUCAUUCUGAAACCCAAUCUGGGGACAGUGCAGACUAAAUAAAAUUUCAUUUUGAUUUGGCCUCCCGCUGAGAAUGGGACUGCUUUGUUUCAGCCGACAGAACCAGCAAGCCAGAAAGGUGUUGAAUACACAAAUACUGACUUAACACAAAAUUAUGUUAUCUAAGAAGGAUGCAAUUAAAGAAGAAAGAGGAAAGAGACAAGUCCUUGUGCGGUUCUGCUAAGCACAAGAACCACAGGUGCGGUUGCAGCAUGAGGCUCAUGAAAUCAACAUUCAUUACUUC